rnacentral:lncRNA from 1 species
AAGGGAGACACAAUCCAAAACACAAAUCAACUAUGGAUAGCCCUACCAAGCCUCACCCAACCCCGGGUGAGUAGUACGAAAAACCCUAGGGGCCCCUAUCCUACAACCCUGAUACUUGACCUCCAGACUUUCCUAUCAAGGGCCAUGUCCUCGAAAACCUGCAUUCUAGCCAUGUCAUGCCUAAUCACCUCUCCCCAGUACCUCUUAGGCCUCCCUCUGCCUCGUCGUACGCCGACCAUCAAGGGCCAUGUCCUCGGAAACCCGCAUUCUAGCCAUGUCAUGCCUAAUCACCUCCCCCCAAUACCUUUUAGGCCUCCCUCUGCCUCGCCGAACGCCGACCAUCGCCAGCCGUUCACAACUCCGCACCGGUGCAUCAAGACUUCUCCUCCGAACAUGCCCGAACCACCGCAGCCUCACUUUUCGCAUCUUCUCAUCCACCGGGGCCACCCCCACCUUCUCUUGAAUAACUUCAUUCUUAACUACAACCCUGAUACUAGACCUCCAGACUUUCCUAUCAAGGGCCAUGUCCUCGGAAACCCGCAUUCUAGCCAAGUCAUGCCUAAUCACCUCUCCCCAAUACCUCUUAGGCCUC